rnacentral:rRNA from 1 species
CCUGGCUCCGUUGAACGCUAGCUACAGGCUUAACACAUGCAAGUCGAGGGGCAGCAUGGUCUUAGCUUGCUAAGGCCGAUGGCGACCGGCGCACGGGUGAGUAACACGUAUCCAACCUGCCGUCUACUCUUGGACAGCCUUCUGAAAGGAAGAUUAAUACAAGAUGGCAUCAUGAGUCCGCAUGUUCACAUGAUUAAAGGUAUUCCGGUAGACGAUGGGGAUGCGUUCCAUUAGAUAGUAGGCGGGGUAACGGCCCACCUAGUCUUCGAUGGAUAGGGGUUCUGAGAGGAAGGUCCCCCACAUUGGAACUGAGACACGGUCCAAACUCCUACGGGAGGCAGCAGUGAGGAAUAUUGGUCAAUGGGCGAGAGCCUGAACCAGCCAAGUAGCGUGAAGGAUGACUGCCCUAUGGGUUGUAAACUUCUUUUAUAAAGGAAUAAAGUCGGGUAUGGAUACCCGUUUGCAUGUACUUUAUGAAUAAGGAUCGGCUAACUCCGUGCCAGCAGCCGCGGUAAUACGGAGGAUCCGAGCGUUAUCCGGAUUUAUUGGGUUUAAAGGGAGCGUAGAUGGAUGUUUAAGUCAGUUGUGAAAGUUUGCGGCUCAACCGUAAAAUUGCAGUUGAUACUGGAUAUCUUGAGUGCAGUUGAGGCAGGCGGAAUUCGUGGUGUGGCGGUGAAAUGCUUAGAUAUCACGAAGAACUCCGAUUGCGAAGGCAGCCUGCUAAGCUGCAACUGACAUUGAGGCUCGAAAGUGUGGGUAUCAAACAGGAUUAGAUACCCUGGUAGUCCACACGGUAAACGAUGAAUACUCGCUGUUUGCGAUAUACGGCAAGCGGCCAAGCGAAAGCGUUAAGUAUUCCACCUGGGGAGUACGCCGGCAACGGUGAAACUCAAAGGAAUUGACGGGGGCCCGCACAAGCGGAGGAACAUGUGGUUUAAUUCGAUGAUACGCGAGGAACCUUACCCGGGCUUAAAUUGCAGAUGAAUUACGGUGAAAGCCGUAAGCCGCAAGGCAUCUGUGAAGGUGCUGCAUGGUUGUCGUCAGCUCGUGCCGUGAGGUGUCGGCUUAAGUGCCAUAACGAGCGCAACCCUUGUUGUCAGUUACUAACAGGUUCCGCUGAGGACUCUGACAAGACUGCCAUCGUAAGAUGUGAGGAAGGUGGGGAUGACGUCAAAUCAGCACGGCCCUUACGUCCGGGGCUACACACGUGUUACAAUGGGGGGUACAGAGGGCCGCUACCACGCGAGUGGAUGCCAAUCCCCAAAACCUCUCUCAGUUCGGACUGGAGUCUGCAACCCGACUCCACGAAGCUGGAUUCGCUAGUAAUCGCGCAUCAGCCACGGCGCGGUGAAUACGUUCCCGGGCCUUGUACACACCGCCCG